GCGACCCGAAAGAUGGUGAACUAUGCCUGAAUAGGGCGAAGCCAGGGGAAACCCUGGUGGAAGCCCGCAGCGAUUCUGACGUGCAAAUCGAUCGUCAAAUUUGGGUAUAGGGGCGAAAGACUAAUCGAACCGUCUAGUAGCCGGUUCCCUCCGAAGUUUCCCUCAGGAUAGCUGGAGCCCGGUGCAGUUUUAUCAGGUAAAGCGAAUGAUUAGAGGUCUCGGGGUCGAAACGACCUCGACCUAUUCUCAAACUUUAAAUGGGUAAGAGGUCCGGCUUGCUCGAUUGAAGUCGGACGCGGAAUGCCGGGGCUCCUAGUGGGCCAUUUUUGGUAAGCAGAACUGGCGAUGUGGGAUGAACCGAAAGCCGGGUUAAGGUGCCCGAAUCGACGCUCAGCAGAUACCAGGAAG
rnacentral:rRNA from 1 species